rnacentral:rRNA from 2 species
UACGAAGGGGGCUAGCGUUGCUCGGAAUGACUGGGCGUAAAGGGCGCGUAGGCGGGUGGUACAGUCAGAUGUGAAAUUCCUGGGCUCAACCUGGGGGCUGCAUUUGAUACGUGCUGUCUUGAGUUCGGAAGAGGGUCGUGGAAUUCCCAGUGUAGAGGUGAAAUUCGUAGAUAUUGGGAAGAACACCGGUGGCGAAGGCGGCGACCUGGUCCGAAACUGACGCUGAGGCGCGAAAGCGUGGGGAGCAAACAGG